UGGAGGUUCUUGUCUUUGCUUCCGUGGUUGACCUGGGACGCCGCGGACGACCCUCCAUAGCUCUCGGCCUGCUGGCGGGAUGACUGCGUCUCGUACUGUCUAUUGUAAAAAUGUCGCGUACUUUUCCACCGAGGGCGGUCGUCCUAAUGUGUGCAGCAGACUAACGCUGUGGUAAGAGGAAGAGCAGUUCAUGAUGUGCCCGAGGGCCGUGUGGACGCCUCACUCCCCACCCUGGACCCCCGGCCCAGAAAUCCUUAGCAAAGAGACCAUUUUGGGCCCACUGGAACUGGAAUAAAAUAGAAGCCUGAUGCGGUCCCCUGCUGUGAUCUUGCCAAGAAUGUGUGCUACGUGAUAGCUUUCCUUCUCUAGGGAGUUUGUCUGCUGGAAAUCAAGCUGUGAGGACAUGCUGGGGUCUUGGGAAAGCUGCUAAGCUCUGCUUGUGUGAACUUCAUGUUGAAUGCCCAGCAGUGGCCCAGUUGAGAUCCAGAGGCCAGGAAGAAGAAAGCCUACCUCUUGGUCUUGUGGCUGAGCAGGACAGGUGCAGAUGAGAUUAUAGGCCUCAGUGUGGCCUCCGACCUCCCCAGGGACCUGCAGAGCCACCCACACAGGCAUCAGGCAGCUCCACACUUCCGUCCUAACAGCCCACAUCCUAAAUUACCACAUUUGUGUUGGCUUGAACUGUUGCUUCGACACUGGUGGAAUUAGCUCUAUGCAGUUGGCAGUAGAGGUUGUCGGGCCCUCUAAGACUCAGCAUUCCCAUCUAACCAACUGCACACUGCCCCACAUUAUGGGGGUGGCACAAAUAAACUUCUUAAUUUUUUAA